rnacentral:rRNA from 1 species
UAUUAUUUAAAAUGUAAAUAAAAAUAUUUAAGUAGUAAUAGUUAUGUUCUUGAAACUUAAAAAAUUUGGCGGUAUUUUAGUCUAUCCAGAGGAACCUGUUUUGUAAUCGAUAAUCCACGAUGGACCUAACUUAAAUUUGUUAUCAGUUUAUAUACCGUCGUUAUCAGAAUAUUUUAUAAGAAUAAUAAUAUUCAAUAAUUUUUAUUAAAAUUUAUAUCAGAUCAAGGUGUAGCUUAUAUUUAAGUAAUAAUGGGUUACAAUAAAUAUAUUUAAACGAAUAGAACUAUGAAAAAGUUUUUGAAGGUGGAUUUGGUAGUAAAAUUAUAAAGAUUAAUAAUUUGAUUUUAGCUCUAAAAUAUGUACACAUCGCCCGUCGCUCUUAUUAUUAAGGUAAGAUAAGUCGUAACAUAGUAGAUGUACUGGAAAGUGUAUCUAGAAUGA